AGCGAACGCUGGCGGCAGGCCUAACACAUGCAAGUCGAACGAACCUUUCGGGGUUAGUGGCGGACGGGUGAGUAACACGUGGGAACGUGCCUUUAGGUUCGGAAUAACUCAGGGAAACUUGUGCUAAUACCGAAUGUGCCCUUCGGGGGAAAGAUUUAUCGCCCUUAGAGCGGCCCGCGUCUGAUUAGCUAGUUGGUUGAGGUAAUGGCUCACCAAGGCGACGAUCAGUAGCUGGUCUGAGAGGAUGGUCAGCCACAUUGGGACUGAGACACGGCCCAAAAUCCUACGGGAGGCAGGAGUGGGGAAUGUUGCGAAAUGGGCGAAAGCCUGACGCAGCCAUGCCGCGUGAAUGAUGAAGGUCUUAGGAUUGUAAAAUUCUUUCACCGGGGACGAUAAUGACGGUACCCGGAGAAGAAGCCCCGGCUAACUUCGUG
rnacentral:rRNA from 1 species